rnacentral:lncRNA from 1 species
AGGUCUGGAGCUUGGUCAACACCCAGAUUCUUGAUGAGGGUGGAACCAAGAAAAAGGCUGUUGGGCAAGCCUGUAGAAAGCAUGUGUUCUCAUAAGGCCCCAAGGAGAAGAAACCAUCAUCUUAAGAAUGACUCUCAGACUUUGAAAUGGAAUGGAGGAUGCCCUGCAGGUCUACUGAACUGUAGGGAAACUGUGACUCAUGUUUCCCUCCCAAUUUCUCCUUAUUGUUUUUUUUUUUUUUUCAGCUUUUUUGAUGACUGUUUCAAUCACAUUUUCCCAAAAGGCAGCACUGAAGAAAACCAUGUUCUUAUUCAAGAUACGAAUACCAGGAAGUGGUUAUCAUAGGACUUGCAGACAAAAGCUGUCAUUAGAAGAUGGAGAACAUUGUGGAAAUAUGAGGAAGAGGAUCUCAGAAGGUCUGUGUCUUGAAUCUUUGCGUGAGAAGAGUUUCUUGGACACAGAAUCAUAUUUUCUCGUUAAUUAUGCUGUUGCUGUCAUUUUCUUCAAUCAUGUACAUUUAUCAAUAUUAACUGAUAAAUCAGCACUAAAAUGUAUAACUACUUUUAAAAAUUUUUCAACAUUUUUUCCGUGUAAAGAGUAUGUCCAUGUAGUGACCAUUUUAAUGUUUGAUAUAAUAUUCUUUAGAAUUUACAUGCAUGUCGAUUCACCAUACGUAUGCUUUUAAGGGUCUGUAUUGUGCUAGGCUGUGUACUAGGCAGUGAGGCUACAAGAAGAAAUAAAAGACAGCAUUCCUGGUCUUUAAUGAUCUUACAAUUUAGUGGGGAAGACAAAUAAUCAUACAAAUAUACAAAUGACAGAUAUUGAAUGUCAUUAUUAAAUUUAUAUAAUAAAUAAGGCAGUGAUAUACAUGAAGAAACUCACAAUUUAACAAUCUGUUGUUGAAACAAGAGUUGGCAAAUAGGUGAAUAUGUCAGAAUAGAGAGUACAAAUUUAAAUUCACAUCUAUAUGGGGAACUCUAUUUUUGAUAAGUACAGAAUUCCAAUUUAUUGGGAAGUGUUUGUUUAUUUAUUAAAUGGUCUUGACAUAUAUUAAAAGUGUAUAAAAAUAUUAGAAAACUAUUUAGGAUAAUAUUUUUACAAACUUGUGGUAGAAGAGAGC